rnacentral:rRNA from 1 species
UACGGAGGGAGCUAGCGUUGUUCGGAAUUACUGGGCGUAAAGCGCACGUAGGCGGCUUGGUAUGUCGGGUGUGAAAUCCCCGGGCUCAACCUGGGAACUGCAUCCGAAACUGCCUUGCUCGAGUUAUGGGAGAGGGAAGGUGGGAAUUUCCGGUGUAGCGGUGAAAUGCGUAGAUAUCGGAAGGAACAUCAGUGGCGAAGGCGACUUCCUGGACCAAUACUGACGCUCAGGUGCG